rnacentral:rRNA from 1 species
UGGGGAAUUUUGGACAAUGGGCGAAAGCCUGAUCCAGCAAUGCCGCGUGUGUGAAGAAGGCCUUCGGGUUGUAAAGCACUUUUGUCCGGAAAGAAAUCCUUGGCUCUAAUACAGUCGGGGGAUGACGGUACCGGAAGAAUAAGCACCGGCUAACUACGUGCCAGCAGCCGCGGUAAUACGUAGGGUGCAAGCGUUAAUCGGAAUUACUGGGCGUAAAGCGUGCGCAGGCGGUUUGCUAAGACCGAUGUGAAAUCCCCGGGCUCAACCUGGGAACUGCAUUGGUGACUGGCAGGCUAGAGUAUGGCAGAGGGGGGUAGAAUUCCACGUGUAGCAGUGAAAUGCGUAGAGAUGUGGAGGAAUACCGAUGGCGAAGGCAGCCCCCUGGGCCAAUACUGACGCUCAUGCACGAAAGCGUGGGGAGCAAAACAGGAUUAGAUACCCCUGGUAGUCCACGCCCUAAAACGAUGUCAACUAGUUGUUGGGAUUCAUUCUAGUAACGUAGCUAACGCGUGAAGUUGACCGCCUGGGGAGUACGGUCGCAAGAUUAAAACUCAAAGGAAUUGACGGGGUCAUAGCUGUUUCCU